rnacentral:lncRNA from 1 species
GUCGGAACUUUUACCUUUUUGACUGGCUUCUCCCUUUCCCGAUGACUGCACGGUGUCGAAAAUUUCGUGUGUUGGGAAAUACUCUUUGGUGGUGGAUUUUUCAUUUCCCGGCGACUGCUUGCUGUCGUCGGAACUUUUACCUUUUUGGCUGGCUUCUCCCUUUCCCGAUGACUGCUCGGCAUCAAAAAUUUCGUGUGUUGGGGAAUACUCUUUGGUGGUAGAUUUUUCAU